rnacentral:rRNA from 1 species
AUUGAACGCUGGCGGCAGGCCUAACACAUGCAAGUCGAGCGGAUGACGGGAGCUUGCUCCUUGAUUCAGCGGCGGACGGGUGAGUAAUGCCUAGGAAUCUGCCUGGUAGUGGGGGACAACGUUUCGAAAGGAACGCUAAUACCGCAUACGUCCUACGGGAGAUAGCAGGGGACCUUCGGGCCUCGCGCUAUCAGAUGAGCCUAGGUCGGAUUAGCUAGUUGGCGGGGUAAUGGCUCACCAAGGCGACGAUCCGUAACUGGUCUGAGAGGAUGAUCAGUCACACUGGAACUGAGACACGGUCCAGACUCCUACGGGAGGCAGCAGUGUGGAAUAUUGGACAAUGGGCGAAAGCCUGAUCCAGCCAUGCCGCGUGUGUGAAGAAGGUCUUCGGAUUGUAAAGCACUUUAAGUUGGGAGGAAGGGCAGUAAGCUAAUACCUUGCUGUUUUGACGUUACCGACAGAAUAAGCACCGGCUAACUCUGUGCCAGCCGCCGCGGUAACAC